rnacentral:rRNA from 1 species
ACUCCUACGGGAGGCAGCAGUGAGGAAUAUUGGUCAAUGGUCGCAAGACUGAACCAGCCAUGCCGCGUGCAGGAAGACGGUCCUAUGGAUUGUAAACUGCUUUUAUACAGGAAGAAACCCCUCCCACGUGUGGGAGCUUGACGGUACCGUAGGAAUAAGGAUCGGCUAACUCCGUGCCAGCAGCCGCGGUAAUACGGAGGAUCCAAGCGUUAUCCGGAAUCAUUGGGGUUUAAAGGGUCCGUAGGCGGCCUUAUAAGUCAGUGGUGAAAGCCCAUCGCUCAACGAUGGAACUGCCAUUGAUACUGUAAGGCUUGAAUUAUUGUGAAGUAACUAGAAUAUGUAGUGUAGCGGUGAAAUGCUUAGAUAUUACAUGGAAUACCAAUUGCGAAGGCAGGUUACUAACAAUGGAUUGACGCUGAUGGACGAAAGCGUGGGGAGCGAACAGGAUUAGAUACCCUGGUAGACUGUCA